rnacentral:lncRNA from 1 species
CACGGUUAUUCCGUGUGUCGGUCAGUUCAUCGGGCGCAUCUAGAGUCAUUGAAAACAGUAAUAGGAAGUCAAACAAACUCGCUUGAUGCAAAAAUUCAGGAGGACAUUCGGUUUUUAAGGAAAUAGUGCUGAGGAAGGACCAGGCUGGAGCUCUUUGGAACCUCAGACUGGGAGGGUCUCGCUCUGUUGCCGAGGCUGGAGUACAGUGUUGUGACCACAGCUCACUACAGCCUCAACCUCCCAGGCACAAGAGAUCCUCCCACCUCAGCUUCCUGAGUAGCUGGAACUACAGGGCUACUUUCUCAUGUUUUGAUGGAAGUCAAGAAGACACCAGUGGAAGAGGGGCUGUGCACUACAAUCCCUUGUGCAUUUGAAUUUCCCAAAGAACCCCCAGGCAAUUCCGUGAUCAUGCGCUACUGGCUCAACAAAAACAUCAGCUCCCUGGUAGCAACAAAUAAACCCAAUGCUACCGUUGGUGAUAACACCAAGGACGAAUUUUACAUGACUGGGAAUCUUGAAGAAGGCUGUACGCUACUCAUCCACGAUAUACUCAAAGGGAACAGCAUAACAUAUUUAUUCUAUGCAGA